rnacentral:rRNA from 1 species
CCUACGGGAGGCAGCAGUGGGGAAUAUUGGGCAAUGGGCGCAAGCCUGACCCAGCAACGCCGCGUGAAGGAAGAAGGCUUUCGGGUUGUAAACUUCUUUUAAGGGGGAAGAGCAGAAGACGGUACCCCUUGAAUAAGCCACGGCUAACUACGUGCCAGCAGCCGCGGUAAUACGUAGGUGGCAAGCGUUGUCCGGAUUUACUGGGUGUAAAGGGCGUGCAGCCGGAGAGACAAGUCAGAUGUGAAAUCCACGGGCUCAACCCGUGAACUGCAUUUGAAACUGUUGCCCUUGAGUGUCGGAGAGGUAAUCGGGAUUCCUUGUGUAGCGGUGAAAUGCGUAGAUAUAAGGAAGAACACCAGUGGCGAAGGCGGAUUACUGGACGAUAACUGACGGUGAGGCGCGAAAGCGUGGGGAGCAAACAGGAUUAGAUACCCCAGUAGUC